GUAAUUAAAAGAGCUGUUUGUGCAAUGACUGCCUUGUUAAAAACCUUUCUAGGUAAAAACUCACAUCUCGUGAGAAAACCCUAGAAAGAAAAAGAGUACAGUCCCAGCUCAUAUAUAUUGUUCGUUGUUGAUGACUACAUAUUACAUGGAUGAAACAUGAAGAUACAUGAUACAGAAUUAUAGAUACAGUCCUAAGACCCUAAGUCUUAGGUUGCUCCACCUCAUCAAGAUACAGUCCUUCAAAUGCAUCUUCUAAUUCUUUGUCCUGGGCAGAGUGUUGAGCUCUUG
rnacentral:lncRNA from 1 species